UAGUAAUGGGAAGUUUUCACAUAAAAGUGUGGGUUUCUCUCUCCUGAGGCAUCAGCACCUCUGGCCACUCCGGGCUCACGCUCCCCCACGGCCAGAGCUGCUGGGCAGAGAGACAUGUCUCCUUGGAAUGCUGUAGGCAGUCCCCACCCUUAUCCGACCUUACCUGCACCCAUCUCCUCUAGAUCUCUGCCCCAACCUUGCAGGAACUUGAGCGUGGUGCCGCCUCUGGCCGAAUCCAGUUUCCCUUGGAACAGGGGGGAGCCCUGGAGUGACUGAGAGGAAACACACAGAGCCAGAUGACUUCACCUUCCUGAUCUCCCCCCUGACCAGUGCCCGCUUCCUGCGCCCGCGCUCGCCGGGGUACCAGCCCCUCUGCCUGGCACACAGCCAGCUCGCCAAGCCCUGGGUGAAUGGAGAGUGAGCCUCCGGCUCCCCGCAGGCCCCGGCUCCAGGCGGGUGCCCAGAGGCCUGCCCAGAGGCUCAGCAGGGAGCCGAGUCAGAGCAACAAGACGGCGAGCGCACCGCACAAAGUUUUUUUGAGAGGAAACUCACAGAUGCAGCGCGAUUAAAAAUUGAUAUUUCAAUGAGAUAAUCCCUCUCCCAGGCUUUUAAUUGAUUGUCUAAAAAGCCUUC